UAGAGAAAUGCUUGACUCAUCCUUCCUCACCCUCUUGGCCUCAUUCCCAGGUCUCGCGCCCCUUUACUGACACCAGCCGGUUUUUGAAACCGGAAGAUAGAUAGUCAAAUAGAAAGAAAACAACGACUCCUCUUCACACCUCGGCAGUGGGAGUUAGUCCGAUCUUACAGAGUCCAACCAGAAUGCUCCUCCCACACGUCAGUGCGGAGAGUGAGCUCCUUGCAAGUCCUCCGAUGAUGCCACAUUAACUCCCAGUGUUCUGCGAGCAGUGCCAGCCAUGAUCCAUCUCCAGUCAGAAAACAUUCAUGGAGAUCUGUGGAGGGUGCUGGAGAAGGAAGGGGCUCUUCCAGUUUCCUCCGUCCUUGGAAAGUUGUCAGCUGGGUGAUGAUCAGAGGCCGUGUUUACUGAGAGGUCAAAGACCAAGAGGUUAAAGGACUUGUCCAGGGACCCAUAGGAAGUGAUAGAAGGAGAUUCAAAGUCAGCCUUCAGAACUACCAAGCUAAGCUGCCUCCUGUGUGUAUGCUCCAUUGGAGCUUUGACAUACCCUCUGGACUACCCCCAUCCCCCUCAUAGAGAAUUAUGAUUGCUUGCCUUAAUGACAGAUAAGUUACUGCCAGAGACUGUAACAUACAUACGCACAUGCGCACACACACAGCUCACCUCAUAGCAGGUUCAGUGUUUAUUGAAUUAAUAAAUCUGGGAAAGUAUAAGUCUGACACAUCGACUAUUUUUCCCUUCCUAGCUCAUUGCCCGUUUUCCAUCAGCUCUUUCCAGGAUUAAGUUGUACAGCAUUUCCCACUGCUUGGACAAAGACCCAUAUACAGUCUUGAAAGACGUGAACACUCUGUGGAAAAUUGUCUACAGGACACUGGGUCCUUCCCAGUACAAUGAGAAACUCUUGUUACUCCUUUGUCCACAUUGUCCUUAGGAGUCCAGUCCUGUUCCUGUGCUGUUUGGAUGCCGGGCUGACUCUUGAUUAUGAAACCAAGUCCAAGGUAACCCAUCCAUUAAAUCCACUGCUCUUCCCCCCACCCCCCCUUUUGUGGAGGAAACUGGUAAGGCUUAUGAGAGAAAACAUUAUCUUUCAUUAGAGGUGAAGCAUACAGCUGCACCUUUCUUAAUUGGAACCUGGAGAACUUGUCAACUUUGUUUGAUAUAGUCUGAUGGUGCGAUUUCUUGUUUAAACAAACAAACAACCUGGCUGGGACUGUACUUGAGAGGCUAAAAGGACAAAAUAGCUGGAGAUAUUUUGGGAAAAUCAGGUAGAACAGUAGACAAGAACGCCCUGCUUUGUUGGUCUCAAGUUGGCAAAGUCAACCAACUCUGCUUCGCAUCGUGGACUAAAAAACGGAUUAUUAAAUUAUUAUUAAA